rnacentral:ncRNA from 2 species
AUCGUUCAUCCCUUCUGAAGUAGAGAAGGGACGGAAGUAGGGAGAGAGCCCGAAGGAACGCGCC